CGCAGAGAAGAGUGGCCUGAACAAAAAGCCAGACCGAGACUUUAGAACCUCCUGCCGUGUAACAAGGACAUCUUUGAACAAAGAGACGCCGAGUGGCUCGUGUCGUCCGGUUUGGAUAUCAACGGCAAAGCGAACGUUGUGUGUACUAUUGCAAGAUCUAUAGCGGAUCUCCACGGUUAGGAUACAGACCACAACGCUUUGGACGUGUUUAUAAAAAAGAGAAAAAUCUGAGACUUUUUGGAUUUGUCUAUGGACAUUUUAAACAUUUUGUAGCAAAUUGGAUUUUACACAUUUCGGAUACUGGAUACCUAUGCUUGAAUUGUCACAGAGCUUGUCACAUUUUAAAAGCACUUGGGUAAGUGUCUAAUUAUAAAUUGUUUUGAUGUUGUUUUAAACUUGCGUUCUUAAUACAUUUUGUUUUAUUUUUCAUC